rnacentral:rRNA from 1 species
UACGUAGGGCGCAAGCGUUGUCCGGAAUUAUUGGGCGUAAAGAGCUCGUAGGUGGUGUGUCGCGUCUGCCGUGAAAGCCCGGGGCUUAACUCCGGGUCUGCGGUGGAUACGGGCAGACUAGAGGCAGGUAGGGGAGAACGGAAUUCCCGGUGUAGCGGUGGAAUGCGCAGAUAUCAGGAGGAACACCAAUGGCGAAGGCAGAUCUCUGGGCCGUAACUGACGCUGAGGAGCGAAAGCAUGGGGAGCGAACAGG